rnacentral:lncRNA from 1 species
GUCGCCAUGUGAUACUAGGUCGCAGUGUGAUACUAGGUCGGUCCGCGUGAUACUAGGUCGCAGUGUGAUACUAGGUCGCCAUGUGAUACUAGGUCGGUCCGUGUGAUACUAGGUCGCCAUGUGAUACUAGGUCGCCAUGUGAUACUAGGUCGGUCCGUGUGAUACUAGGUCGCCGUGUGAUACUAGGUCGCCCUGUGAUACUUGGUCGCCAUGUGAUACUAGGUCGCCAUGUGAUACUAGGUCGCAGUGUGAUACUAGGUCGGUCCGCGUGAUACUAGGUCGGUCCGUGUGAUACUAGGUCGCCAUGUGAUACUAGGUCGGUCCGUGUGAUACUAGGUCG